rnacentral:rRNA from 1 species
UACGAAGGGGGCUAGCGUUGUUCGGAAUUACUGGGCGUAAAGCGUGCGCAGGCGGCCAUCCAAGUCAGUGGUGAAAGCCCGGAGCUCAACUCCGGAAUUGCCAUUGAAACUGUUUGGCUCGAGUACGAGAGAGGUGAGUGGAAUUCCCAGUGUAGAGGUAAAAUUCGUAGAUAUUGGGAAGAACACCGGUGGCGAAAGCGGCUCACUGGAUCACAACUGACGCUGAGGCGCGAAAGCUAGGGGAGCAAACAGG